rnacentral:lncRNA from 1 species
CAUGGCCAAAGGUCAGGAAUGAUGGCAGUUGGAAGUCCAACAGCAUCUGCAGAGCCACAGGUUCACUCCUGGUUUAAAGGUAAGGAACCUGCAACAUUUAUGUUUGUUUGUUUUUACACACACACACACACACACACACACACACACACACACUUUUUUUAAAAAAAACAUAAUUCAUGCGCAGCGGAGGAGAAAACAAGGGGAGAGGUGAAUUUUGGGAGUUUUUAAACUCUUUCUUUUACUUCUACAUCCCAAGGUGUCAGAUUGCUGUUGGCACCUCCAUUACCGGGCCUUCACAGCUUUAAAAGCAAGACUGACAAAGUGGCACACACAAAUCAUUUUUACAAGGGAGGAAAAACCCAUGCACUUAGUUCUCUAGGUCAUUGUGGAAUCUUGGUCAAUAAUGCAAUCAGGUCACUGAAAUGAAUCAUCUCUCUCAAGUUACUGGCGUGUGACCAAUUUUCAGAAAUGGAAUGAGGCCACAUUUCGUCUGUCUAAAAUACAUUCCUUUUGUACGCUGGACCCCCUGCUGCCACUUCUUCUCAUCUCUGUGGAAAUAGAAGCCUUUCUCCCGAUCUGCUGUAUAACCUCCAAAGAGAUGAUAGAAAAACAACCCCCAAACCCUAUUGUUAGCUCAUUCCUUGGGUUCCUACUGGCUAUGCCUAUGGAUUAAGUCAGCUGUUUUAUGAUGAAUAAGCAACUCCUUUCCUUUCUGCUUGUUUCCCAUUAAGAUCUGUGAAAGUCCUCUCCUAAAGCCAGGAAAACCAACAGUUCCCAUUUGGUUGUAAUCCUCAUGUUAUUGAAAGUAUGCUCCUAAAACCCAGAAGAUAGUCAGUAGUAGCUUCUCCCAUAGCCAAACCUUCCCGAAAGAAAGAAAGAGAAAGAGAGAGACGUGCACACUUUUUUCACUUUCCCAAUCUCAGGCUUGUAGUCACAACUCAGGAUGGGGUUGUUGAGAUGGAAAGGCCAAAUAUAUUAAUGAUUUUAUAAAUAUAUUAAUGACAUUAAUAUUCUGGGCUCCCCCCCCACCAAAGGCCACUGGAGCUGCUUAAUGUUUGAUUGGUCAUUCAGUGUUUUAUACAUAUAAAACAAAAUAAUCAUUAAAACAACUGAAAAAUAAAAAAAUGCUUUAAACAGCUGCAUAGGUCUGUUAGUAGAAAAAGGUCUUCAGGAUAUUUGCAUGCACACGAAAGGUUAUACCAAGAAAAAGUUAGUUGGUGUCUAAGGUGCUACUGAACAAUUAUAUAUAUAUUUCGACUGUGUCAGACCAGCACGGCUACCUACCUGAAUCUUAAAAAAUCCUGAAAGUCAAAAGUGAAUCUCUGAAUCUCUGCUGGAAGAGUAUUCUGCAGUAUGGGACUGGAGACACUAUUAUUUAUUAUUAUUAUUUAUUACAUUUCUAUACCACCCUUUAUCCGAGGAUCACAGGCUGGUUUUCGGCAUAAAAACACAAAAAACACCACUGCCUCACAGGGUAGCUGAACAAGGCAGGAUCCCUCCUUGUACAACUGUUUCUUUGCUUCUUGCCACAGAGCGCUGUACUAUCCAGUACCCAAGUGACACCAAGCAUGUUUUCUCCUAAAUACUAGCCAUGGUGAGGAAAAGGAGUAAAUGAUCUUUAUCGGAGAGCUCUCCAUUGCAGCACAUGGCAGUUCACCACUUUGAGAUGUUGAUAUGUCGCGUUAUUGGCUGGUGGCAUGCACGGCCUUGUCAGGAAAUGAAGACAUUGCUAGGCAGAGCAGGCUGCAUCAGGAAUGACUGACAUCCUCUAUUAAUUUUUUCCCAUGUAGGUAGCAUAAAAAAAUUCACCGUAUGUUGAUUCUGGAAAUGUUAUGUCUUUUCCAAGAUCAGAGAAUUCUUCGUGUUGGAACACUACAGUAAGCAGACCAUCACACAUAAAGCCUUCACUGUAUCACAUCUAGUGCAGGCAUGUCCAACUCCCAAGAGACUGUGAUCUACUCCCAGUAUAAAAAAACUGGCAGUGAUCUACCCUUUGUCACUGGAGAGAGGAGGAGCGUGCAUGAGGAGGGUGGAUUGCCCAGAGUUGUUGAGCUUUUUGGGGGAGGAUUGCACAGAGUUUUUUAGAUUUCCCUCCAUAACUUUUUGUACACAAUAAGGAUCCCACGAUCUUGACCAGGAUCAACUGGGGAUCUACUGGUAGAUCACGAUCUACUUGUUGGACAUCCCUGAUCUAGUGGAUGUUUGUGGUGCAAUAGCACUGUGAUUUUUUGCACCCAGACUUAAAAACAGCAACCUAGUUUUGCAACUAUGGCCAACUGAGAGCAAUAGGCCAUUGUGGCUUCUGGCUGAUGCAUCAGCAUCUGAAGUGCAGAAUAUAAUAUUGAGCAGUAGCAUAUGGUGUGGUGGGGUUGCAUCACUUACCUGACCUCCCCCUGGCCAGGUAGCUGCUGCACACCAGGAUGGAGAGCAGGAAGGGGCAAAGUGGUGGCAAGGUUGCUGACCUUGCCACUGCCUUGCCUCUCUCUUCUUCCCGGUAUGCAGUGGUGGCUUGGCUGGAGGGAGGUCAAGUAAGCAAUGCUGCCCCUCCAUUCUGUCCACUACUGAUCUUCAGAAGUUCUUUAACAGCACAUGAAGAAAUAUCCUUAGCCAUCCUUCAUGGCCACAUCAUAGUUCUUACUCUCAGUUCCCUGAACAAAACAUUUUCUAUUAAGUAGUGUCCUACAUCUUUCCAUAUAAUAUGCAAGGCACAUUUCUGAAAUCAUUCCUUCCUUCCUCCACUGGGAAGAAGCUUUUUCUAACUGAAUUGUAGGUUGCAGUCGCUGUUCCUUUGCAGAGCUCUUAAUGGAUUGGGAACCACCAGCUGUUCAGCUGCAGCUCUUCUGUCUUAUUUGAAGUUGUACUGAUCUGUGCCAAAGUCCAAAGGCAUCCGUUUGUACUUUGCAGGAAAGUUUGGACCAGUUCAGAAAAACUUUCUCCAAGAUCACCAGCGGCUGGAAGGACAUUAUGUUGUUUGUUGAUAAUAGCAAUGUGAUCAUAGUGUGUUGCAACAUUUUGGGAGGCUGGGGGUGGAAUGGGAGGAUAUUAAUAAGAUAGCCUUAUAGAUUAAAGAAAGUUAAUAAGUUAUGGAGGAGUUAUGGAACAGAUCCCAAAGAGUCAAUACAAGUUUUCAUUUUCAUUUGCUGUGCCCUAUUAGAAGUUAUAAGACCAUAGAGUUGGAGGGGAAUUCUAGGACUAGGUUAUCUAUUCCAACUUCCUGCUCAGUGCAGGGAAUUCAGAGCUAUAGCAGCCCCAAAAGAUAGAUGUCUAGCCUCUGAUCUACAAUGAGGGAGAGCCCACUGGUCAUCAGAGUUUCCAUUGUCAAACUGCUCUUGCUGUUACAUUAUUUCUCCUCAUGUGCAUCUGCAAUCAACCCUGCUACAACUAAAGUACAUUGGAUUCUGCUUUCUGGGCCAGUAGAAAAUAAGCCUUCAUACCCUCCAACAUUUCUCCAGUGAAAAUAGGAAAUAAUAAUAAUAAUAAUAAUAAUAAUAAUAAUAAUAAUACCCCACCCAUCUGACUGGGCUGCCCUAGCCACUCUAGGUAUCUUGCAACAUACAGUGGUACCUUGGGUUACAGACGCUUCAGGUUACAGACUCCACUAACCCAGAAAUAGUACCUUGGGUUAAGAACUUUGUUUCAGGUUGAGAACAGAAAUCGUGCUCCAGCAGCAGCGGGAGGCCCCAUUAGCUAAAGUGGUACCUCAGGUUAAGAACAGUUUCAGGUUAAGAACUCCAGAACGAAUUAAGUUCUUAACCCGAGGUACCACUAUAUAUAAAAACAUGAUAUAACAUUAAACAUUACAAAAAAAAUUCCCUAUACAGGGAUGCCUUCAGAUGUCUUCUAAAGGUUGUAUACUUAACUCCUUGGCUCAUGGGUCACAUAACUACAUACCCUGCAACAUUUCUCUGGUGUAAAUAGGGAUGUCCUAAGGAAAAGUGGGACAUUCUGGGAUCAAAUCAGAAACUGAGACAGCUUCUGUAAAUCUGCAACUGUCCCUGGAAAAUGGGGACACUUGCAGGGACUGAAUUUUUGCCCUCUUCUAUGUGACAACCCUUCAAAUACCUGAAUGCUCUCAUGUCACCUCUCAGCCUAUACUUCUUCAUGUUAAACAUAGCCGGUUCCUUCAGCUUUUAAAAAUAGGAUUUACUUUCUGUAUCACUGACCAUCUUUGUUGCCCUCCUCUUGCAAUGAAUUUCUUGACACACUGCAACAUGACAUUUUCACAGAAAGCGCAGCUUUUCUUUGGGUUUGAUCACUGUAUGUUUUCAGGUUAUGCCUUUUGAUGGGAGAAUAAAUUUUCCAGGCAGGGGAAAGCAAAUGGUUGUUGAAGAAUUCCAUCAGUACUUUUCACCUUUCUGUCCAGCCUAUAGCAAAUGAAUUGUAACCUCACUUGUGCAAACACCUGAACACACUGAAUCAUCUUGAAACUCACUGAAAGGAUUGAUCAGCCUUUCAGCAGUGGAGAAAAUGUCCAUUACGACCUCCUCGGCUUUCUGUGCUGCCAAACGCUUUCCUUUUGUAUACUUCUGGCAGCAGGGCCCAGGAGCCCUGCUCUCUUGAUCCCUUUCUCUGCCUUAACGGAGAGGGCAAAACAAAUAGCAAGGGAGUAUAUUCAGGAGCACCAGAUUGGCUCCACAGGAGCAUUUGCCCCACCCUGACCUCUGCGCACCACCUCACACAAUGCAAAACAUGAGCUAGGUCAGGGCAGCCAACUAUUUUGUGGACUACAUCUCCCAUCAUCUCUGACCAUUGACCAUGCUGGCUGGGGCUGAUGGUAACUGUAGUCAGUGCUGGUGCCAGGCACCUUAGGCAAAACUAACUCCUUGUAUGACUGCCCCCCACCCCCCGUGCCUGCCCCAUGAAAAGCACAAAACUUAAAACUGAUAAAUUUAUCUUAAAUUGCAAAAAUGAAUAAUGCAGCAAUCUUUGAUUAUCUUUCUCAAAUACAUGUUUUUGCACAAAAAUCAUUUUGAAUCAUCUUGUGAACUGGGAUGUUAAAAUUCAAGUUUCUUAAAAGUUUCAGUUUCAGGCACAUCAAAAUCUCACUUUGCCUGCCUUUUCCUUUUUUGUCACCAAAAAAUUGCUUGGCCCAUGUAUUCAGUGGGCAGUGGGACUACUUUUCUAGUCCUAAACUACUGGGGGGGGGGGGGAAGAGAGAAACCAAGACUCCUCCUGUGUUAGAUUCCCCUUUCUUUUGGCUAGGCUGACGAUCUGUAGUUAUGAAUGUAAGUUUCAUACCCAGCCCUUGGUUCAUAAAUGCCUUUAUUUGAGCUAUGAGUUGGAGAAGGUUAUCUAGAUUUACACUAUGCCUACCUAAUAGUAUUUCUUAUUCUGACCACACAAGAACUCUUUCGCCUCAAAGCAUUGAUUUUUAGAUCUGAAACUUUCUCCUGAAGCACUUAUAAAUCAGGGGAUCAAUCUGUCUUGCUAUUAGAUCUGAAGACUUGUGCCUCAGGGAAACUUCUCAGCUUGAUGCCUGAAAGCAUAGAGUUCUCCCCCUACCCCAUGUGUGCAUGUGUGUGGGUCUUCAAUUCUCUUUGAAUGGGAUAUCUAGCCAUUCACCUGCCAUUAGCACACAUUUCAGGAGCUAAAUUACAGUACUUAGAAUCUGAAGCCUUUCCAACAGCAAAGCCCCCUCAUUGAGAGAGAGAGAGAGAGAGAGGGAGCGCUCAGCUAACUUGGAGUAAGGUAUAAAUUGAUUUUCUAUACUUCUGGUGUUAAAUAAAUUACAAGGCUUUGCAUGGCCUAUGGUGCCUUCAUUUCCCCUGACAUUUCUGGCUUCACUUUGCCUGAUGUUCUCCUACAGAAUUUUUGCCUCUGCCUCCACAGACAUCUUUUUUGGUUCACCACCUUUUGUGUAUUAUGCUUCCCAGCUACGGAAACUGGCCGUAUUGGAUACAUUAAGCUCUCAGGCUCAACAUUAGCUCCAAUUUGAUGCAUAUUGGUUUGAACUGACUUCUCAUAACCUUUUUAUGCUUUGCACCCUGAGGUGCUUGCUUUAAGAAUGAUACAAUAAUUCCAUGACUGACUGGUUCAGUGAUUUGCCAAUUUGUUAACUUUUGAGAACUCCCACAGCUCCUCUUAUGCAGAGACUGCUUCCUGCCUAUUACUGAUGAGCCACACUGGGAAGAAGACUCUGACAUCUACUGCCAUGCUCAGCUUGAAAACUCGUGACACAUUUGACUAGUCUCUUCCACCCCCCUGCUUUCUUGUUUGCUUCCCAACCCUUUCUGAAUAUGGCCUGUUGAGUUAUGAUUUGAGUACAGUCAGUGCUGUUUUGCUAGAAAAAGAGGUGCCAGAACUCCUCCUCACGUCUUCUUGACCCAUAACUAGAAAUCAUGAAUCUGAGAAGGGUUUUUUUUUAUGCGUCCUGUGCUUCCUAUGCAUGGGUCUGAGUGGUUUUGCUUUUGCCCCUCUGCUUCCCCUUGGAAAACUACUCCGUAGCACUAAAUCAGAACAAAUGGGAAUCUGUGGAAAACCCAAUUGCCAAUUGUUCUGAUUCAGCGCUAAACUGCAGGUUUUCUAGAGUGAAAGCGGUGGGGCAAAUGGAGGUGUGGAUGAGCCCUAUGUCAGAUAUAAUGUGGAAUAUAUUUUCGACAAGAAAAGAGGAAAGGGAAUGACACUAUGGGGGUAAACAGAUUAGAGUGAAAACCUGUAAACGUACAACCAUGUCAGAAAAAUCCAUAUGGAAUACAUACAUAUGGCUUAUUAAUCAUGGUCCUGUGAACCUACACUGAACUUUGCUCUACUAUAUUUAUGUUAAGGUCCUGAAGCCCAUUCAGGUUUUUGCCAUUAAUCUCAAUGUAAGAGAUGCGCCACAAAAGUUUGCAGAAAGUGCUUUGUAUCUUGAAAACCCAGUUCUUCCAAAGAACCUAAUGGCAGGUACAUUUCCUGCCUAGGAAGUAGCCGUUAAAUGAGAAUAUUAACCUAGUAGUCGAUGAAACGCAUUAGUUGUCAUAUAUCUAGAAUGCGCACAGACCAAAGUGGAAGGUAUUUCCAGAUACAUAAAAACAGAUUACUUUCAAUUUUGAUGCUCCUGUAAUAGAGGAGUCUGAAAUUGCUUUUAGCUUCCAUCCUGCUACUGUUUCUUAUUCCACAAAAUCAACAUUUGUAUUUCAUCAGCGGUAGAAACUUGCUUGCAGUUGGAUUUGUGUGUUUUGUUCACAAUGAUUAUGCACUAUAGCCUGUUGGAUGAAUAAUGGUAAUUGGCGCAGAGGAAACAGGCAGAAUAUGUAAUUAUAGAGCACAGAGAGCACCCCGCCCAAUUCUCCUUUAAUAAGCUUUUCCACUAAGACAAAAAGAAGAAGAAAAAAGACAAGUAAUGUAGGACACAAUAGAGGUGUAUAUAAUUAUGCAUGGCUAGGAGACAGUGGAUAGAGAGAGGUUUUUCUCCCUUUGUUCACUUUAACACUAGAACCUGGAGUCAUCCGGUGAAGCUCAGUGGUGAAAGAUCCUGGGCAGACCAGCAAAAGUACUUCACACAGCAGACGGUUAAACUAUGACACUGCUUGGAUGGCUUGAAAAGGGGAUUAAAGAAAGUCAUGGCAGAUUAGGUUAUUAAUAACUACUAGUCAGCACAGCUAUAUGUCCCCAGUAACAGAGACAUUUUUAGGCCUCUAAAAAUACCAGUUGCUGGGAAUUACAAGUGAGAGCUCAUGUCCUGGUUGCAGACUUCCAAUGGGCAUCUGGUUGGCUGCUGUGAGAACAGGAUGCUGGGUUAGAUAGACUUCUCAUCUGAUCCAGCAGGUCUCUUGGUGAUGGUCCAAAUGAUGGCCUGAACCAGGAGCUAUGGGUGCUUCCAGACUAUCACUAUUUUCAGGUGGGAUUCAAUCACAUCCUGGAAAAACCAGGCUAAGCAUUUAAAGCUGAUUUGACACUUUUGUGCAACAAACCCAUCCCCAGAAUUGGAUUUUUUACAAAAAGGGGAAAAAAGAGAGGGGAAAUGGAUGGGAAAGUGUGGGAUAGCACUCAUUUGAUGCAACAUCAUAUAACCUCUGCAGAAAUAAAUCAGAACGAAUGCUCAAGAAAGAGGAGACACUUUCACAUCCCCACAAACUUUGUGCAAACAAAUCACAAUGAACAGGUCCUCUAGAAGUGACCCAAAUUAUGUAAUUUGUCUAGGAAACUGUUCACUUUUAGCAGGCAUGAUGGCAGGGCUGUGGCUGAUCAAAAUAACUGCGGAAGAUUAAAAAGUGGGGCUCCCAUAAUCCAGAAGGAGUGCUCUGGUCUGGUAGCCAGAAUGUAGUGAUUUAGGGCCAACCAACCAGUGAGAGAAACAAAACACAGUGUAUUAACUUGAAGAGCAAUGGCUGAUCCAUUACUUUAGCAGAGGUAGGUUGGUGAAGCAUUAGGAAAAUGGCAUAAAUGGUGCCAUCCUCUUGCACUGAUUGAGAAGCUGUUGGGAGGGAAAUGUUAAAGCUAUGUUAUGCACUAAAUGUGGGCAAGACAUUGGAAUGGAUGGCAUGCACUUAUGUGUGUAGGGGUACUAACUCAAGGAGGCUUACAUUUUUUGGGGGAGGAAUUUUGCCUUGUUCUUUGUCAGUCCCUUGCCUCCUUUAGCUUUUUAACAUCUACAACUGGUAGAAGCUUUUCAGGGUUGUAGCCAGGAGACUUUCCCAGCCCUGCUGGGAUUUAACCUGGAACCUUUGGGAUGCAGAGCAUGUGCUCUCUGCCACUGAGCUUAUAGCAACGAGGGCUAGAAACUUGAUUUCGAACAAGAGUCUAAAAUUUAUUACAGGGGAAAGCGAGAGGUGGUAUUCCUAUGCAGCUCACUGGUUUAUGCUACACCUGCAGAUCUUCUGAGCCCAGGUUCUCCAAGCAGAAAUAUGGAGAUUAGCAGCCAAAACAUGGACUGCACUAAUGUAUACUCUGUCUUGAACUGAAACUAAUUACGAAUCCUCUGUGCCCAUUAAUGGGGGGGGGGAUAGUUCAGUGCUAAUCACUUUCUUUCUAAAUUUAACCUUGCUGCAGAACACCUCCAGUUUUAUGCCUAUUGAGAUGGCAUCUAGCACUCUUAGUGGUGCUUUUCAGAAUCUAAUUUUCUCAUUGUUAUUCAGUAGUGCUCACAGUUCUACGAUGCAGGAUCCAUGAGCGGAUACGAAUCCUCUCAUCUCGAUGUGAUAUGUGCUGUUAAUCUAACACCUGCUCCUCCUCCGUUUGGGGAAAUCACAGAAAUCUUGUCUCUUGUGAUUCCAAGUUGAAUACAUUCUUCCUCAGAAAUCUGCGCAUCAAAGGAGGAGAAAGGUGCCUUUUAUAUCUUGUCAACAGAUGCAUUUUGAAAGCUUAAAAAAGAAGAGCACACACAGAGAGAACCUACAGGAGGCAUUUGCCCUUCUAGUGUUCAUCCACAAAUCUUAGUUAACUGAAGAACUCCAGCUGUUUGCAUGGCAAAGGGACAUAAUCCAUGCUGAAGGGGCUGACUGAUCCCAGGGGCCGCAAUGGGCAUGGCCUUGUGAAAUAUUUAGAUAGAACCACUCUCAUAAAUAAACAUAGAAGUCCCCUGUUCCCAACCUGAGACAAAACCCACAGUGCUUUAACAUUCAGACAGAGAAGUAUGCAUGUUCUUGACAAGAUGUGCAGCAAAGGGAGUAAUUUCCUAUCUUCAUUUAUGCUCCCUAUUUCAACUCCCCCAUCUUGGGAAUGGAACAUAUCCCCAGGGUAGAGCAUAGGCAUGCAUUCAGAAGGUCCAAAGUUCAAUCCCUUGUAUCAAGGAGAGUAGGAAGUUGCCUUAUAUUGAGCCAGACCAUUGGUUCAUCUAGCUCCUUAUUGUGCGCAUUGAAUGGCAAUAGAUCUCCCAAAGAAUUCAGGCAGGGGACAUUCCCAGCCCUAUCCAGAGAUGCGGGGAUUGAACCUAGAACCUUCUGCAUGCAAAGCAGAUGUUCUACCACUGAGCUAUAGCCCGGUCCCUGUGUCGGGGUUGGAGUCAGGUGUAAGUCAGCAAUAAAGCCCGAAGCCAGCGAAGUUUACUCUUUAUUCAAGGAAACAAGCCACAGCUCAGGCCUAGUGGCCACAGCAAUUCUUUCCAGGAGGUCUUGCCUAAUGAAGCAGCUGUGAGGACUAAAGGUCCCCACCUUCCCUCAGCUCUCUAAGCUCUCCAAGCCCUUGAUUCCUUCCCUAGUAACCUAAGCCUUCACCUGCUUGCCUCUUGUUGCUCUGCCCUCUGCAUUUCUCUGCACAUUUUGGGAGACCAGGGGGCAGGGGAGCUGAUUGUAGCAGGAGGGGAAGACUCUCUGACUUCUUCCACAGCCUGCCUACACUCAGCUUCAGAGUCUGCACAGCUCUCUGCCACAGCCUCUUCCUGCUCAUUAAACCCUGUUGCUCCCGAACCUCCUCCCCCCACUCUGCUCCCUCUUCUCCCUUUGACUGCUCAUUGUCAUCCCCCCACCAAUCCCCUGGCUCAGAGCAUUCUUCCCUUGGGAAUUCCCUAGGGGGCUCCCCGGCAGGUGCCUUCCAUCAUGCCUCUGCAUCCAGCCAGUCCAUGGACACCGUGAUAGAACUCAAUGCAUAGGGUUCUCAGGUGGUCUCUCAUUCAGAUGGACUCCCAUUCAGAUGCUGAUCAGGCCUGCUCAGCUUUAGCAAGGUGGCUGCACCAUGUGUCCUCAGACCAUUUGAGUCUGAAGUCCAGCUCAAGCAGGAUCUCCAGCUCAAGCAGGUGAUAGGAAAGAUUGCUGCCAGUCAGACAAUAUUGUGCAAGACAGAGAAAUAUUCUGAGCUGGUAGAAGGGCACCUACCUGCAGGUUCAUCCCUAUAAUUAUUUGUGGCUUAAGGGCGCAAGCUCAGGAGCCCGUGACUAUAACCCCUCCCCUUCAAAGUAGGAAUUGCCCAACCUGCUGAAAGGGAAAAGAUGUACUACAUAUGGGGAGAGAACAAAUGAGAGAACAGUAGGUCAAUUCCUUUAUGCUCCUUUGCUGCUUCAGAGCAUCUUUUUUGAUCCUUUGGACCACUCUGAGUAAAAGUUAGUGGAAUACCACCCAGAAUAAAAAUAUAUUACAGGGCUAAAGAAGAUGUACAGUGGUACCUCGGGUUACAUACGCUUCAGGUUACAGACUCCAUUAACCUAGAAAUAGUACCUCGGGUUAAGAACUUUGCUUCAGAAUGAGAACAGAAAUCGUGCUCUGGCGGCGCGGCGGCAGCAGGAGGCCCCAUUAGCUAAAGUGGUGCUUCAGGUUAAUAACAGUUUCAGGUUAAGAACAGACCUCCAGAACAAAUUAAGUACUUAACCAAGGGUACCACUGUAUAGCAAAAGGCAGUAGAAACCAAAGUCUCUCUCUGCCUCCCUGGCAGAAGCUGGUGUGAAGUUGAACAUAACUUCUACUAAUUCCAGGCUGAAGAUCCCUAGAAAAAAAGAUUUGCCUUGAUAUAUAGGAAACUUGGCAGUCAAAUUGACCCAAGGACAUAAGAAGGGCAUAACCUGGCUCCCUAUAAAGAAAAAAUGGCCUUGUCCGAACUGAUGCACAUUUAGUGUCUGGAGUGAGAAAAAUAUCGUCAGAUAUAUCUGUGUGCAACCUUGCUCUUUACGAAUGGAGGCAGUACGGCCCAUUUACAGAGAACGAUGUGCAAUUUCUAUAAUUUAACAUGCUAUAUUUCCAACUCUCUGUGACACCAUAUUUAUUCAGUUAUGUUCUUAGUUCAUGUGCUGAGAUGGAUUCCUUUUCCUUUUAUAUGCAAAAUAACAAUGAGGAUUUGUCACAGAUGAAAAGUCCAGAUUCUUUUCUUCAGUAGCAAUUCAUCAGAUACAUAAUUAAUGAAAACAAGAGGUCGUUUAAAUUAUACAUGGGCUUCCUCUUGGGAGAAGCGAACAAGAAAUCGAGGGGUUUGUACAAAGUUACCUUUGCUUCUCAUCGACCAAAAUAAUGACCUUGUGGGCUCCCAUUCGUGAUGUUCCAACAGGGUUGUAAGUGUGAAAACCAUAAGAAAUAAAGAAUAAAAGAAAGGAAGGGAUGAGCUUAUUCAUUUUAAGAAUUCAGGCAUAAAAGCUCCUUUAACAUAGAACUAAUAUUGCAAUUUUUCAAGAAACUUAUUUAAAAAGUAGGCCAAAGUUCCUGCUUAAAUUAAUACAAGAGACCUAAAUGCAAGGUGUCCGAUUUCAAUCUAAGAUUCUGCAGAAAUUGAAACAGACCUUUGAGAAAUGUCUGAAAUUGCAUAUCUUGGUAUUCUCUGACCUGACAGGGAAUUUUACCAGCACAACUGAGACUUUACUGUAGGGAGGUAAUUUACUGAUUUGAUGAUGAUGAUGAUGACGACACAACUAGUAGCCUUAUUGUAAUAUAAGCUGGAGUGCUAAUGUUGAAAGAUUGGCCAUCUCUAGUCCAGAAACUCUGGUAACAACAUUACCAGUUUGUAGUCAUUUUAUAGAAGCUAAUAGUAUUUUUUAUUACUUUUAAGGAUGCUACUGGAAAGGAGGAGCUACAGUGGUACCUCGUGUUAAGUACUUAAUUCAUUCCAGAGGUCUGUUCUUAACCUGAAACUGUUCUUAACCUGAAGCACCACUUUAGCUAAUGGGGCCUCCCGCUGCCACCGCACUGCCGCUGCACGAUUUCUGUUAUCACCCUGAAGCAAAGUUCUUAACCCGAGGUACUAUUUCUGGGUUAGCGGAGUAUGUAACCUGAAGCGUAUGUAACCCGAGGUACCACUGUACUGAGAAAAGUGGUAGUCGCUGGAGUUGAGCUAAAAUAGCCUCGCAAAUUCUCCAUGUUAUUUGUGGGAGGUGAAAUUUGGGGGGUGAGGGUGAGAUUUCGUUGAAUUAUACUUUGGGGCAAUGGAGUUCUCCUAUGCCCAGUCCCCACCCUUAAAUGCCUGAAGUGUAUCCUUGAACCAGGAUAAUGCUUCUUCCUGGCUUAAGGAUAAAGAGACGUGGGUGGGUAUUUUACCUCUGAGUUUUACUGUGCAAAGGUACGAGUCAAACCAGAUGCUCCACCCACUCUUGCUACUGGCCCCACCCACCACUGGCAACUCCCGAAUGGUUGCCAAUGAGGGAAUGUGGCCUGUGAGCUGCAAAAAGCAUUGUUUUCUCAAAAUUUACCUUCUGUACCAUGAAAAUAAAGAAAAACAGUAUUUUAUUUUUUUUUAAAAAGGGUUCCCCAUCAGGCCUGUAAGGACUGAUUCACACAUACCUUUUUGCCUCUGUCCUGAUGGUUGCAGCAGCACCAGGUGGUGAUGUGAAUGAGGGGAUGAUCUGUCUUAGAUCAAACAGUACAGAUAAAACUCCCUUGCCAACUGAAAGGCAGAAAUUUUUCAACAGCGACUUAGUCACAAUGACUUAAGUUUUGCUCAGAAUAGGCCUAUUGAAACUAAUGGACCUAAAUUAGAAAGGCUUGUUAAUUUCAGCGGGUCUACUCUUGAGGAAGGCUUCAUUGACUACUAUUACACACACACAAACCUAAAGCAGAACAAAUAUUAGAUUUGGCGAAGAGCCUGCUAUUUUGCAAAAAGAGGCACUGUUGGCAUUUCAGCUGCAUAGAUUUCUCUUCCACGUGAAUGACAGUAUUUGUGUAAAGCACUCAUACAGAACCUUAGGCAGCGCUGUGGAUAAACAAUAAACCAGAACUAUUCCCUAUGGGGGAUUUGGAGUCAUAGCUCAUUAAAUUCCUUGGCACAGCACAAGUUGGUCUUUUAUUGUGCAAAGCACAGGUAACGUUUUGUUCCAAGCGCUGGUUCAUGCGGCAAAUACCGUUUAUCCCAAGGUACCCGACUGAAAAGGCUUAGUUGAAAUGGGAAGGCCUAAUGAUAUGACUUUGAUGUUGUUAUUUAAAGCCUCAGCUUUAUAGAGUUAUUCUGCUAUCAUUAAUUUCAGAUAUCGAAUUUCUCAUUGGAUACCUCGUCAUUCCUCCUACAAAGGAACGACCUAAAUAGUACUGCAGUAAUGUGAACUUCCCCCUUUAUUUAUUUAUUUCAUAAAAGACACCACUUCAUCGUAAAUGAAACCUCCAAGCAGUUUACAAAAGAUUAAACAGGUAAAAAGUUAUUAUGCUUUUAUAUAUGUUGGAAGCUGGGGUAACCCAGCCAGAUGGACAGAGUUUAAAUAAUAAAAUUAUUAUUAUUAUAAAUAAGAUAAAACAGAAAAAUUCACAACCACCCUUCAAAACAUACAAAAGUUAAAAUAGUUAUUGGCAUCUGCCUGUCUCAGGAGACAAUGGAAGAGUGCGCUUUUGGGGGUGAAGUCAAACUCAAACUGUUGGGGUUUGAGUACAGCACCUUCUGUGGCUGUAGAGACCUUUUCUAAGCAUCUGGGUGGGCUUGUCUAAACAACAAUGUUUUUAGCAGGCACCACAAAGAGUACAGUGAAGGCACCUGCUUGAUCUCAAUAGGCAGGGAGUUCAAAAGUUUAGGCACUAAGCAAUCAAGUUCUUACAAAUGCCAAACAGGUAUUACAUGGCACCUAUAGAAAUGCCAAUUCCGCUAAUCGAAGCAGAUGAGUGGGCACAUGUGGGGCAAAAUGUAGUUAAACUGGUUCCAAGUUGUAUACAGUGGUACCUCGGGUUAAGUACUUAAUUCGUUCCAGAGGUCUGUACUUAACCUGAAACUGUUCUUAACCUGAAACACCACUUUAGCUAAUGGGGCCUUCCUGCUGCUGCCGCGCCUCCGGAGCACGAUUUCUGUCCUCAUCCUGAGAACAUAUAUUUCUGGGUUAGCGGAGUCUGUAACCUGAAGCAUAUGUAACCUGAAACGUAUGUAACCCGAGGUACCACUGUACUAAUAGCAACACUUGGAAUCUGGCCUGAUAGCAGAUCAGCAACAGGUCUUAAAUGCCAAUAAGGCCNNNNNNNNNNNNNNNNNNNNNNNNNNNNNNNNNNNNNNNNNNNNNNNNNNNNNNNNNNNNNNNNNNNNNNNNNNNNNNNNNNNNNNNNNNNNNNNNNNNNUAGGAUUAAAUUGGCCACAACUUUAUUAAAUUUCAAAUGUGGGUAGACCUUGGCUCAGGCAUUGGGCGUUCUCCCUCCCCAGCCCCCAGCCGGGGACCUAGGGAGCUUCAGGGUUAUCCAGUGUGUGUGGGGGGGAUGGGCCGGCUCUGGAGAGCAUAUGUUCAAGCAGAGAUAGCUGCCCCCGUUACGCCGCCGCCGCAGGGAGAGCAAUGACGACCUUUCGGCGUACGGUCAAAGCCUCCCUUCAGAAACCCCUUUAACGGGGAACCCUGGUAUCGCCGCCGCAAAGAGGAAGAUGGACUAAAGGAUUCCACCCAAGGCCUGAUACCGCCAAAGUUGUGACGUUUUGCUAUGGGAAAGGCAAAACCUGCCAAUGCAGAGAAAUUCCUUUCCGGCCCUUUAACAGCGACCUUAUCGUAGCAGCGCCCGCAUACCUGUGAAGAAAAGUUAACCUGCAAAACCUAUGAAGAAAAGUUAACCUGCAAAGGAAGACAUUAACUGAGGGUGGGUAGGGUGGGAGAAGCUCUGGAGCCAAGUGAGGAUUUGCAGGUAAGAUCCUCGCUCUAUUGUGUGGGCAGGUAAUCCCUCCCCCUACCUGGCCUGGUCUCCUUGGCAACGCUUCCCCCAGGUGGGAUUGGACAACUGAUUGAGGUAGGCGGAGACCUCCAGGUAUCCCACCUGAGGGAAGGCAAAGCCAAGCCUAUGCUGAUGGGGCCGCUCCAGAUCUAGGGCUGCGCGCGUCCACGCAAAGGCGCCCCCCGUUUUAAGCGGGGAGCGGUCAUUAUGCACUAACUGCAGCUUCCAGGUCGAGUGUGAGGGAAGCGGUAUUCCAGUCUUGAAGUAAUCAGUGUGCAACCUACUGUGGCAAGGCUUUCCAGGUCCAGGAAUGGCCAUAGCUGUCAAACCAAUCAUAGUUGGUAAAAGGUACUUCUAGCCACUGAGGCUACCUGGGCCCCCAAUGACAGAGCUGGAUCCGGCACUUGCAAACAUUGAACUUGCUCCUUCAGGGGGAGUAAAACUCCAUUAGGGUAGGCAACUGGCCAAUUUUUCGUACACGGGAACUACUCACUCACAGUGCCUCCCGCUUCAAGUUUCUGAAUAUCUAUUGUAUUUUCUUAUAGUCCUCAGGUAACUAUCUACAUUCUACUGUUAUAGCUUCUCUUUCAUUUCAUACAUUGUGCACCUGCAAGAAUUAAAGGAAGGCACCUUAGAUACAUACAGUGGAAGAUCAGAACCUCUGUACCAGAAAGGGGAUCUGAUGUCUAGCUUGUCAAUUAGGGGUAGGAUGAGAUCCACUCACCACAGGCCCAAAACUUGCAGGUCUCCCAUCUCUGGUUGUCUCCCAUAAAGAAACUUUAAUGUAUCUGGAUUUCGUAACUGUAAUUGCCUUCCUGGAGAGGAACCACCUUCAAGGAAUCUUUCCAUUAAAUGUGACAGAUAGUGGGGUUUGUAACUCCUGAACGGCAGAGAAUUUUAACAGGUCUUUUUAACAGCUCUGUGACAGGGAGAGAUUUGCCAGGUCUCUGCUCCCCACCCCCUCUUACAGGCUUUUCUGCACAGCCAGAGUUCUGUGUGCUCAAAUAAGUGGGAAAGGACUUAGCUUCUUCCCCACAGAACCAUUCAGAAACAGUUUUGAUUUGUAACAGCCCUUCACAACCUGGUGUCCUCUGGAAGUUAUAUUGAAAUGAAAAAGUUUUGGGACAUGAUAUAUAACGAAAUGAAAAAAAACUCUUUAAAGACACCUUCCUAAAGAAACCAGAGGCUUUUUUUACUACGGAUAAUAGGAGAGGAAGUGAGAAAACAAGAUUGCAAGUUAUUUCUGUAUGCAACAACUGCUGCUAGGAUUCUUGUGGCCCAAAAGUGGAAAACCCAGGAGAUUCCAACUUUAAUGGAGUGGCAGAUGAAAUUAUUUGAGUAUGUAGAAUUGGUGAAAAUGACUUAUAAAAUUUGAGACCAAAAAGUGACAAAGUCUGAAGAGGAAUGGAGUAAAUUUGUUGUGUAUAUAUGAAAUAAUUGUAGAAGUUUAAAAACUGUAGCAGGGCUAACAUAAAACUUGUGAUGUGAAUAGAGGGUAAAUAAGAAUCUGUAAGAGAGCAUGUAAAAUGGGAAAACCAAAGCAGGGAAGGAAGGAAGUCUGGGUGCAAAAUUGUGCAGGGUAAAUAAGACACAAAAUGUUGAACGUAAAAGUGUAAGUUUUAUUUGUUAUGUUUUUGAAAACCAAUAAAAAGCAUUUUUUUUAAAAAGGAAGUUAUAUUUAUUUUUUUAUGAUGUACAUAAAGGUGUUUGUUUGUUUUUUAAAAGCACCUCUAAGUGGUGUACAAUAAACGAGAACAUGGCUAUCAGUGGCUAUGAGCCAUGAUGGCUCUGUCCUACCUUCACUGUUGGAGGCAGUAUGCCUCUAAAUAGGAGUUGCAAGCAGGGAGAGUGCUGCUGCGCUCAAGUCCUGAUGGCAGGCUUCUUGAAGGCACUGGCUGCCCACUGUGAGUACAGCAUGCUGGUCUAGAUGGGACAUUGGCCUGAUUCAGUAGUCUCUUCUUAUGCUCUUAUGUUCUUAUGAAAUGCAAUGAGAUAAUGGCCCUGUUGAGUGAGGUUGAUGGGAAUGUUAGUCUAAAACACUUGGAAGCCACCAGUUUGGGAAGUCUGAGCUAAAGAAUUCUGUUAUCAUCCUGCACUGGGUUCAACUCAAGGAAGAGCUUCAUUCCAACACUAUAAUUCUGAUCUAUUUUCUGUCUUAGAAUCUCUCCUGAUCUAAAUCAAGCAGUGUAUUCUAAUCUGAAUCUCCACUGUCAUAAUAUUAAAACAAAAUGAAAAUUAUGAAUUCCAAUAGCAGCGAUCAUCAUUUUUAUCAAAUAUAUCUCUUCUUUUUGAAGAAAAGGGAAAUCUUUCUAAUUCCAGGCAAACAUCUGAUUUCUAACACAAAGAGAGACUUAACUUACACAGCAAAGCUUCACAGCCAUCAGAAAAGUAAUUAGAGAGAUGUAUCAUGCAGGCAACCUGGAGAAUACUCACAAAGUAAGUGAGUAUUUGCUGACUUUUAAUGGUUGGGGUUAAAAGUCCAUUUCUAAAGUUGGCAUUUUGUUUCCUAAUUGGGGCAUUGUGUCUUGUUGAUUUACCCCACCCCAUCGUGCUGAAUUCUUAAUGUGCCAAGCCCUUGGGUUGGUAUAGGUUACCAUCUGAAAUAAAGAAAACAAAUUGAGGAAGACAGAUGGUUUGUACUUCAUGAAAUCCCAAUGAAAGUAUUAGUUUCACAUGACAUUGUUUCUAAUCUCUUCUCUCGGGGCAGAAAUGGUUUUCAUAGCUUGCUUCCAUUUCAUAUAUAAAAUUAGUCAUCCCUUGGGUUUUUGUGCCUCUUUCUUUCUGAACACUACACUGUAAUAUAAAGCAGCAAAUGGUGUACUGUCUUGUCGAUAUUUAAAAGAAUGCAAGAUAUUCUGACACUAAUAUGCUUCACAGAGAACCAACUCAUUCAUUACAAUUUCCCUUCUAGCUCUUUUAGGCUUUGUUAGAAUUGGCUUUCUCCAUGUUGGCAACCGAAUAACAUUCUGUCUUCUCUUAAUCACUCACAAAAUGUCACUUUGGCCAUUUCCCAACAGAAGUCAGAUUGUUCUUUAUGGAUUUCCUUAACAGGUUGGGGAAAAAAAUCCAUUCAUCUCCUAAUCACAAGGAAAGAAAGUGAAUUACCAAGGAUAAAAUAAACACCCAAUAGAUCUAGCUUCUUGGGAAAUAGCUAGAGAAAGAACAAUUGAUGCAGAGCUCUUUAAAAAUGAAGCCGGUAUUCACUGAUCAGAAGCCAAAUGUCUCAGGGUUUGUAACCUCAAAUGUUAGGUCUGGUGAAUGAAAAAAAGGGUGGUGGGCAGAAUAAAAACAUCAACAACAGUCAACCCACAAAUAGGAUUUGCACUGUAGAACAACAACAAAAAGAGAGAUUACUCAAUUUCUCCAGAGAGGAUAUAAUUCCAACAUGAGAAAGAACUAAGCAGCUUAGAGCCGUAGGAAAGAAAGAAACAAAACUCUCUGUAUUCCAGUGCCAGUCUGAAACAACUGGUACUGAUGCAGGAAAUGUUCAAUUAACAUGUCUUCCAACCACAGUAGAGCUGGCUUGUAUGCUUCAAACUUUGACCUAGUAUGAGGGUAACGGGUCUGUAAAAGGGGAACACACACACGGCAUAGUGGCCAAUCGACCAGGAUACAGCUGAAACUCACAGCAGAAUGAAUUGGGAAUGAGGUUGUGCAGGGGUAGCCAGUUCCCAUCAGCCCCACCCCAAUGGUCAGAGGUGAUGGGAAUUAUAGUCCAUCAGCAGCUGUAUAACACCAGAUUGGCUACCCUUGAGGAGGUAAGUCCCGAGGUAGUAUGUUAGAAUGUACCACUGUAGCAGGAUGGGUGGAUUUACUAUUUGUAAUAUUCUGCUAUAGAAAAAAAACCAUUGAAUUAGGAAGCUAGUACUGAAUAGCUGGACUAGAAGCCUGAGGGACUGAGAAUAAACCACUACAUUAAGGACUGUUCAUUGUUUGUUCCUGAGUGUCCCAGGGCUUUGAAGAUUAAGGGUGAGGGCUUCUUUCCAAGGCCCUUCAGUCUGAAGGUAAUAGUGGGGGACCCAGCCGUUCCUCUUCCCCAGAGUACAAUGGUACCUUGGGUUACAAACACCUUGGGUUACAAACACUUCGGGUUACAAACUACACUAACCAGAAGUAGUAACUUGGGUUAAGAACUUUGUCCCAGGAUGGGAACAGAAAUCAUGCGCCGGUGGCGCAGCGGCAACAGGAGGCCUCAUUAGUGAAACUGCACCUUAGGUUAAGAACGGUUUCAGGUUAAGAACGGACCUCUGGAACGAAUUAAGUUCUUAACCCGAGGUACCACUAUAAUGCCUUUUGUAGCAAGAAGAUGCUCACAAGAAGAAAUAAUACAAUGUGUAUACAUUUCUGCAGGUUAUACAUUGUAUUCAUAAAUACAAAUCUGUUUAUUGGUAAGAUUUUGUUGUUGCUAUAAGUGGUACCUCGGGUUACGAACUUAAUUUGUUCCGGAAGUCUGUUCUUAACUUGAAACAGUUUUCGUUAAUGGGGCCUCUUGCUGCCGCUGUGCCGCCAGCACACGAUUUCCGUUCUCAUCCUGGGGCAAAGUUCUCGACUCGAGGUAACUCUUUCAGGUUUGCAGAGUUUGUAACCUGAAGCGUUUGUAACCUGAGGCAUUUGUAACUUGCGGUACCACUGCACUAUUCAGAAAUGGUGUCCUGCACCAGCACCCAGAGUUGCUAAAGUCUUUCAUUUCAUGAUUCUCUCAUCUUAUUCUCCUGCAUGAGUUGAUCAGAUUUAAUUUGCAAACCAGGAAAUGUCUCUGGUUCAAAUGUUUCUUGGGUGAAUUUAAUGGCUAUUUAUACGCACCCCACAUGCAUCUAAGAUUAAGGGAAAUGACAUUUGUCUAGGUGAAGGAUUGCUGAUUACUGGUAAAAACGUUUACUGGUUGGUAGAUGGAAUGUCGGCAUAAAUAACAAUGCAGCUACCAGAAACAUUACCAUUUUCUGGAGACACACAGGAAGCUAUUUUGUGAUGAAACAGGUCCCUGGUCCCUCUAGUUCAAUAAUGCUAAUGUGCUUAUACUACCAUAAUUGUUGCCUGAUGUCCUUCAACUUGGGAUGCUAAAUGAGGUCCUCUCUUGUUUCAGUACUGCAAUGCUCUGUGUCAAUGGAUUUUUAUAAAAAACAUGCCACCAAAAAAUAGUGUCCAGUCUUAUUACUAGUGAAGACUGAAUCCAAAAGGUUCUUCAAAGUUCACAUUUGUUAAGGGAACAAAAAGACUCACAAGAACAUGGUUUUAAAUCCAGGUUCAAUGUAUGAUAGAGUUGUUUUUUUUUCCUUUUUCCUAUGUUAGAGACACACUUUCUGAUGCAAGACAGAAGUAAUGCAAGGGGCCCCAUACUGUUUCACUGUGUAAUAAAUGUAUCUGUAUCUGUUUAUUUCCCAUAUAGUAGUCUUUCCUCACCCAGACAGGGUUAAAAAUUCAUCAUUGCCAUGUUUGCUCAUUCAUGCUAAGCCAUGAAAGUUUCUGCUGUCUUGGUAAUACUGUAUAAGUUUUCUUCUAGCCUUCUUUUAUUUUAUUUCAUAUUUAAUUUAGGAAAAAAGAGAGACCAGCUUUCAUAGAUUAAUAUGAAAUGUAUAUCGAUAGAUCCACAUACAUUUAAUAUCUCCAGUUAUUAGAUUCUUUGCUUUAUGUGGUAUUGUCUCAGAAUCCAUAGUAGGGAUUUUGCAGCUUUCCUCCAUUUCCUGUCUUCCUUCUUCCUGGCUUUGGUUUCCUGUGAGUUUUCAUGCAAUAUAAAUAGCAAGAGCUGUAAAGUGCUGCUGUAAAGUACAUGAUUGAUAUUUCUCAUAUUACUUUUGCAUUUUUCACUUUUAUUUGCUGGAGCUCUUGUCAUCUCCUGCACUGCAUCAUUUCCCCUGAACAUUAAGCAAAUGCCCCUUGCCUUGAUCAAACAGUUUCCAGAGCCAGUGAAUAUGAAGGGGGAGCUUGAGGUCAACCACAAGCUACAUGCCAUUACCACCAUUUUCUUUGGGGGCUGUCAGUUAUAUGAGGGGGUGCCUACUCCUGUCCAUCAGAAUCCAUCAGUUUUCAAGGAGGCAGUUUUUAGUGACUUUCCUCUUAGAAUGCUCCCCCUAAAUCCACUCCACAAAGAUGCCCCCCAACUUCAUGACAAUGCCACACAAUGAUGUGGCAUCCCCCUAAAAAGUCUGUUGGGUAAGAUGGUGCCCAAGAGCAGCUGAGCCUCCCAGGAACAUGAUCUCUGCCAGCUGGGACCAUGAAAAAGGCAGUAGCCAUAAAAAGCAGUGACAGGCUGUGAUUUUGUGAAAUCUGGCCCCGCCAAUAUCCACCACUGAGUUUCUGAACUUUUGGCUCAGCUCUGGCUGAUGAGCCUUUUCUGAUUUGAAAUGCUGACUGCUACAAGCAAGCAUUUGCCAAAUAAUUUUAAGAAAACUAUUGCUAAUGUUGCAAGAAGUUUUGUGAGGUGAAUUAUUGGAACAAUCCAAAAAUGGAUAAAGGGGAGGAUGGUUAGUUAAGAUAAUUAAAGGCAAUAUGAAUUUAAGAAAUGCAUAAGAAGUGAUAAGAACGGUGGAUCAUCAGAGGUGCUGAUGGAAGUCCAAAAAAAGAUUGUACAAGUUGCGAAGUUUUGUGGUAUGUAUUAUAAUUUGUAUGUCAAAAUUAAUAAAAAAUAUUAUAAAAAAGGAAGGUAUGAAGCCAGUGUUGAUAGUUAUGGGUAUCAUACUUUUUUUUUCCAUUUUGGAAAUGUUUUGAUUUAUUGAAUUUGGCCACGUUUCAGUUUGCAAGCACCUUUAAAUGUACAUUCUCUCAUUUGAAUGCAGCUUCUCUCACACAGAGCUGGCAUACAGCAGAUGCCCAAAGCUAGGAAGAGCCACCCAUUCAAAGGAUUGUUGCUAGCCUGUUAAGUUACCUGAAUUAUGAAAACUUGCAACAAAUAUCAGUUCAAUUCAAUUUGGCACAACACUAAGCAUUCCUGAUGGAACAUCCGCUCCAGUUUUGAAACGAAGCUGCUCCCCCCACCCCAAAUUACAGCGAAUAUACACAAUCUAGUAUACAGUAACCACAAUAUCAUAUUGAAGCAGCACCUUCUUCGGUAGACAGAGACUGUGGUUUUUCAAAAACCAAAUGGAACUGUAUUGUAUUCAGUUGGAAAGGGCUGGUGCUCAUCUGCUCUGUAUAUAGAAGGCUCAACCUCUGGCAUCACCAGGUAGAGCUGGAAAAGUCCCCUCUCUGAAAAAUGGAGAGCUGCUGUCAGUCAGUGUAGACAAUAUUGAGCUUAAUGGACCAAUAGUCUGACUUGGGAUAAGGCUCAUAUGACCUUCUGCUAACUGAAGGCAUCCACCAGCAUGUUGGGGAGGUAGAUAAUUUUUGGGUGAAUCUUCCUCCUGCUGCAUCCCAAUCCCCAUAUGUGCUGAGGGUUUCCCAGCCAUUUGCAGCAGUUUUGGGGUAGUGACUGGGAGUGGCUGCCGAGACCACAUAACUCCGGUCCUCUUCAUUGGCUCCCAGUACAUUUCCGAGCACAAUUUAAAGUGUUGCCUAGGCCUCGGUCCAUUAUACCUGAAGGAAUAUCUCCACCCCCAUCGUUCAACCCGAAUACUGAGGUCCAGCUCUGAGGGCCUUCUGGCGGUUCCCUCACUGAGAGAUGUGAAGUUACAAGGAACCAGGCAGAGGGCCUUAUCAGUAGUGGCGCCCACCCUGUGGAAUGCCCUCCCAUCAGAUGUCAAGGAAAUAAACAACUAUCUGACUUUUAGAAGACAUCUGAAGGCAGCCCUGUUUAGGGAAGUUUUUCAUGACUGUUGUUUUAAUGUAUUUUUAAUCUUUUGUUGGAAGCUGCCCAGAGUGGCUGGGGAAACCCAGCCAGAUGGGUGGGAUAUAAAUAACAAAUUAUUAUUAUUAUUAGUAGUAGUGGUGGUGGUGGUUGCAGGUAUGAGGGAGACUCACCAAAAAUUAACCUCCUCUUCAUUCUAUGGACACAUGUCUUCUGCCACUGGAGGAACACUAAUUAGAUAUCACUUAUCAUUAUGAUAGCAAAAGAUAAAUAAAUCACUGGUGCAAAAAUGAAAGGCAACAUUUGUCUGGAGAGAGAGAGAGAAAAAAAAAGGUAUAUUUGUGCUAGUAUGUCAUUUUUGUCCUUUCUUGUCUUCAAGAGCAGUCCACGAAGUGCAGUUUCUCAUCAUAGAGUUGCUCUUGUUAUGCAUGCACCAAAAAGUACCAGUCCUGUGACAUCUUAGAGACUAACAAACUGAUCGUCGCAUGAAUGUUCAUAAACAAGAGACUACUUCAUCCUAAGAAGCAAGAGCUGCCUUCAUCAGAUAUGAGGAGGAAGGAGCCUACUCCAUGAGGUGUUUUGUAUGCAGUGCAGUCACAGUCGAGCUGAAAUAAAUUAACAUUAUGAUACAGAGUAUUGUUGUUUCCUCUGGAGAUAGACAAAGAUAAAGAAUCUGUAGGAUUAUGCCAGAUGCAGAUCAUAUUGUACUUGAUCAACAUCACAGAGUUCUGC